rnacentral:rRNA from 1 species
UUACCAAGGCUACGAUGGGUAGGGGUCCUGAGAGGGAGAUCCCCCACACUGGUACUGAGACACGGACCAGACUCCUACGGGAGGCAGCAGUGAGGAAUAUUGGACAAUGGGCGCAAGCCUGAUCCAGCCAUGCCGCGUGCAGGAUGACGGUCCUAUGGAUUGUAAACUGCUUUUAUACGAGAAGAAACACUCCUACGUGUAGGAGCUUGACGGUAUCGUAAGAAUAAGGAUCGGCUAACUCCGUGCCAGCAGCCGCGGUAAUACGGAGGAUCCAAGCGUUAUCCGGAAUCAUUGGGUUUAAAGGGUCCGUAGGCGGUUUAAUAAGUCAGUGGUGAAAGCCCAUCGCUCAACGGUGGAACGGCCAUUGAUACUGUUAAACUUGAAUUAUUAGGAAGUAACUAGAAUAUGUAGUGUAGCGGUGAAAUGCUUAGAGAUUACAUGGAAUACCAAUUGCGAAGGCAGGUUACUACUAAUUGAUUGACGCUGAUGGACGAAAGCGUGGGUAGCGAACAGGAUUAGAUACCCUGGUAGUCCACGCCGUAAACGAUGGAUACUAGCUGUUGGGAGCAAUCUCAGUGGCUAAGCGAAAGUGAUAAGUAUCCCACCUGGGGAGUACGUUCGCAAGAAUGAAACUCAAAGGAAUUGACGGGGGCCCGCACAAGCGGUGGAGCAUGUGGUUUAAUUCGAUGAUACGCGAGGAACCUUACCAAGGCUUAAAUGUAGAUUGACCGAUUUGGAAACAGAUCUUUCGCAAGACAAUUUACAAGGUGCUGCAUGGUUGUCGUCAGCUCGUGCCGUGAGGUGUCAGGUUAAGUCCUAUAACGAGCGCAACCCCUGUUGUUAGUUGCCAGCGAGUCAAGUCGGGAACUCUAACAAGACUGCCAGUGCAAACUGUGAGGAAGGUGGGGAUGACGUCAAAUCAUCACGGCCCUUACGCCUUGGGCUACACACGUGCUACAAUGGCCGGUACAGAGAGCAGCCACUGGGCGACCAGGAGCGAAUCUAUAAAACCGGUCACAGUUCGGAUCGGAGUCUGCAACUCGACUCCGUGAAGCUGGAAUUGCUAGUAAUCGGAUAUCAGCCAUGAUCCGGUGAAUACGUUCCCGGGCCUUGUACACACCGCCCGUCAAGCCAUGGAAGCUGGGGGUGCCUGAAGUCGGUGACCGCAAGGAGCUGCCUAGGGUAAAACUGGUAACUAGGGCUAAGUCGUAACAAGGUA